UCCACGUAAGCCCUAGUCCCCCCAUGGUCCCCCCUCGUCUUCUCCUUCUUCCACGUCAUCCCUUCCGUACCAAAUCACAUCAUUUUAGUCCGAUUCAUGCGUAUUUCUUCUUUUAUUUCUUUUGUUUAAACAAAAAAUCUGAAUCCUUGAGAUAAAUGUCGGAAAAUGGGAGCCGUUGGAUUAAAAUUUUGAUCCAAGACUUCCAUUUUCUGAUUUUUUGUUUAAAAUGGGAUUUUCGGAUCUUGGAGGGGGUCCACACGGUUCUGGGGAUUUCUUGUUGAAGAAGAAGAAGAUUCGAGAGAGAUAUAUAUAUUUGGUUUUUGGACAGAAUGAAAAAAAGGAAGGAGGGGUUUUGGUUUUGAUUUGAGUCUUCCUUUUCUAAUUUUCAGUUGAUUCGUAUAAAAAAAAAGAAGAGAAGUUCUGUUUGGUUUUGAUAAUCAAAAAAAAAUUAUUUCAGUUUCUGGUUUUAAAUUCGAAGAUGAGGAUCAGUUGAGGUUUGGAGUUUGAUCGAAGGUUUAUUUGCCGAUUCGACGUGACAAAUUGCCAUUCGAGUCUUGUUGAGUUGAAGCUCGUUUUCCAGUCGAGUUUGCCGUUCGAGGUCGAGUUCAGUGGUUCGGGUUCCGUUGCAAUUCCUUGUUCGAGCUCGUUCUUUGUGAAUCAUUGUAGCUAUUGGAGUGUUAUCAAUCGAGGUUAAUUUCAGAGACAGCAGUUGACGCAGGCGAGGAUUUCGUUAAUUAGAGCGCACAUGUUGAGAAUUCUUGAUGGAUAGGACAUACACACCUUCGUCUGCUGGACGUGGUGCUACCCGGGGUGGCGGUCAUGUUGGGGUUUAUCAAACUAAGACAGAUUGCUCCUCAACUUGAAGUUGGAAACACGGGUCAACCUCAAGCUGCUAUGCCAGAUCAAGUGAAAAAGCAGGGAGUUCAGAACACUCCACCACCAGUGCCAACUGUUGUACCUACUGUUGCCUUACCUGCAGAUGCAGUGGCAAGGUUAUUGAAUGUGUUAGAGGCAUUGGUGCCUACUUAGGGAGGAAGUUUAGCUUCUCCGGCUAUUUUACAGACACAAGCACUUGUACAGACUCAGACUUUUGGAAAUAAGGAAGUAUCCCUACAAGAGUUUCUGAAA